CUGCUGUCUGUUGUAUGCCAGUAUAGAGUUAAGGAUGAUUAAAAGGAUUUUAAACAAUGUAAAUCAAUGUAACUCCCGAAGAUAGCCAGUAGGUGGCCCUAGAGUGCUUCCUAAAGUCUAAUGAAGCAGAUAGACUUUAAUUAUGUGAGACAGUUAUGUGGGUAGGCGGGGACAAUAGCGCAGGGGGAGUGCAAAUACAAG